GCCCAGCAACAGUAGGAGCAUGGACUAUUGUGACAUGUUGUCUAAACUUUAGAGAGGGAAGGAAGACCGGACCCAAAAAGUUUCUCAGAUCUGUCAGCGCAUAUUCAGGGUGUUUGCAUACCUGACAGCCGUAAUAUUGCACAGGACUCCUGCACCCUGCAAACGAUCUCAGUACCCUGGUUGAGAAUCACUAUAUUAGAGUGUUUAAGAUCUUUUCCCAUGGAAGGACGAGCAGGAAAGAUGGAUGCACAGAGGGCAACUGUGAAUUUCCAUUUAUGCAACUAACUUCAAAUUCAUCAGACAUGGAAGAACAGAAUGCACGUGGCUCUGCGGAGAACCCAGAGGCUCUGUAAACUCACAGACAUUAUCUGAAAGACAGCUCUAUGAAUCUCAGACUCCUCCAGUGGAGCCCUGUUGUCAAUGCCUCUCCAUUUCUACUUCUCCUGUUGAAGGGCUUCUAAAGACAUGGGUCAGGAGCCCCCUGGAAGGUUGAUAAUGACCCCUAAAAACUUUUCAAUGAAGGUGUGGACCCCGUUGGAAAUUUUGAAUGGAGGUGUGGACCCCUUUGAAUUGUAAGUGUGUAUUUACAUACUUUUGAUUGAUCCUAGUCAUCUUUCAUGGACCCCUUAGACCUACUCUGCAGAUAUCCAGGAGUCUGUGGACCCCAGGUUGAAAACCACUGAUCUAAGGUCUCAAGGGACCUGUUUUGUAUUAUUUGGAAGCCUGCAAGUCCUUUGGCUUCUGCUAUCACACAUCCAUGAAGAGGUGUUUGAUGAGCAUCCAGCAUGGAGAACUUUACCAGGCUUGUGACACGUGGUGACAGCAUGUGGGCUCAGCAUGAUAGUGCGUGAAAGUUAUUAAAAGGUGGCUUUUUGCAAGGAUCCCAGACUUUCUACUCCUAAACUGCAAGUCAAGAGCAGACCUGUCAGUCUGUUAUGGGUAAAGUCAGAUGGCAUGUUUGAGUUACAAACAGCUCAAGAAACACCAGAUUGUGAACUUGUAUGGGCAGGAGGUUAGCUCAUGACUAACUGGAAAAAGUUGGAGUGGGUGUCCACCCUAUGCUACAAUGACCAGAGGCAGGAGGAAACACCUAGUAACAUUCAAACUUGCUGUAUCUAGUAAUAAGAGCACAAGGCAUAAAAUGUAACUGGGAAAUAAAUUUGUGAAAUAGUUAUGUCCA